UUGCAGAAUUUGGUGCUUUGAAGAUAGCUAUAUAAGUGGAAAUGAAAUCAGGAUGAACAAUACUCCAGUUUUCAAAGUUCUGAUACAUGGAAAGAGGAGCAUCAUAAGCAGCCUUUUGCUUUCACAUCUUUUCACGCGGUUAGGGUGAAUGGUGAUAUGCUGUUUCUUCCUACUAGCAGGUGCUAUUACAUGGUUUCUUCCACGGUGGCGCCGUGGGUUUUUGUUUAUGGAGUAGUUAACUGGUUUUCAAGUUCUAUCCCUCUUAUGCUUUGUUUGGUAAAAGAAAAAAAAAGGGAAAGGAAUGAAAGGGAA